rnacentral:rRNA from 1 species
GACGAACGCUGGCGGCGUGCUUAACACAUGCAAGUCGAACGGAAAGGCCCUGCUUUUGUGGGGUGCUCGAGUGGCGAACGGGUGAGUAAAACGUGAGUAACCUGCCCUUGACUUUGGGGUAACUUCAGGAAACUGGGGCUAAUACCGGAUAGGAGAUCCUGAUGCAUGGGGGGGGUUGGAAAGUUUCGGCGGUUGGGGAUGGACUCGCGGCUUAUCAGCUUGUUGGUGGGGUAGUGGCUUACCAAGUCUUUGAAGGGUAGCCGGCCUGAGAGCGUGACCGGCCACAUGGGGCCUGCGAUACGCCGCAGAAGGCAACGUGCGGCAGUAGUCGGGAACCUUGCGGAACGGCGCGAAGUCUGAUGCAGCAGUCUUGCGUUCGUGAUGAUGUCUUUUGGGUUGUAAACCGCUUUCGCAGGUGCUGAAGCGGGCGUGACGGUACCUGGUAAAGAAGCCCCGGCUAACUACGUG